rnacentral:misc_RNA from 1 species
UUUUCAAUUCUCAAAUCUAAGCACGUGUAUUACACGCAUUCUGCGAAUUUCUAUGGAGAGCAUGAUGAGUAGAAAGAAGAGAGUCCGAGUUGAAUCGGAAGAAUCAGAAUAUAACUCACCGGAAGUGAAGAAACUCAAGGAGAAUCUGUUGUACGAUCUCACCGACGACGAUGAUAGCUCCGAGUUUUGCACCACGAGUCAUGAUUUCGAUUCGUUCAUGAAGAGUUUCGAAGAAGAAAUUACAGCUUCUCCGUCACCGGCGAAGGUGAUGGAGACGGAAGUGGUGGAUUUGACGGCGGAUUCUGAUGAGUCUCAGCCGGAGUUAGGUUACCUUCUCGAAGCGUCGGAUGAUGAACUCGGACUUCCUCCGGCAACGGCGGAGGGAAGUGAAUCGGUAGUCGAAUUGAUCGGAGUUUCACCGGAUUCAAUAUGGGAAGUGGAAGAGAGAAUUCCGAAUUACGAUUCGUUCGAAUUGGGGAUCGCUGAUUUAGUGGAUUUCAACACUGGUGUUUGUGAAUACGUAGCACUAGAUGGAUUGUUUGAUCAUUCGGAUCUUGGUUUCGGGUCACCCGAUUUUCUAUGGAGACCCGAGACGUUACCGGCAAACUAGGAAGUGUAAAUCUUUUUUUUUUUUGGGGUUUUAAUCUUCUUUUUAAUUAUUAAUAUUAUUUAAUUUAAAUAUUAAAAAGCAAGAACAGAGUAUACAAAUUUCUGGAUAUUAAAUUUUG